rnacentral:rRNA from 1 species
GAUGAACGCUGGCGGCGUGCCUAACACAUGCAAGUCGAACGGAGAUUACGGACGGAAGUUUUCGGAUGGAAGCCUGUAAUUCUUAGUGGCGGACGGGUGAGUAACGCGUGGGCAACCUGCCCUAUACAGGGGGAUAGCAGCUGGAAACGGCUGGUAAGACCGCAUAAGUCGGUUAAAUCGCAUGAUUUGAUCGGGAAAUGAGCAAUCAGGUAUAGGAUGGGCCCGCGUCCGAUUAGCCAGCUGGCAGGGUAAAAGCCUACCAAAGCGACGAUCGGUAGCCGGACUGAGAGGUCGGACGGCCACAUUGGGACUGAGACACGGCCCAAACUCCUACGGGAGGCAGCAGUGGGGGAUAUUGCACAAUGGAGGAAACUCUGAUGCAGCGACGCCGCGUGAGUGAAGAAGUAUUUCGGUAUGUAAAGCUCUAUCAGCAGGGAAGAUGAUGACGGUACCUGACUAAGAAGCCCCGGCUAACUACGUG